rnacentral:rRNA from 1 species
UGGGGAAUUUUGGACAAUGGGCGAAAGCCUGAUCCAGCCAUGCCGCGUGAGUGAAGAAGGCCUUCGGGUUGUAAAGCUCUUUUAGUCGGAAAGAAAGAGUUGCAAUGAAUAAUUGUGAUUUAUGACGGUACCGACAGAAAAAGCACCGGCUAACUACGUGCCAGCAGCCGCGGUAAUACGUAGGGUGCGAGCGUUAAUCGGAAUUACUGGGCGUAAAGGGUGCGCAGGCGGUCUUGCAAGUCAGAUGUGAAAGCCCCGGGCUUAACCUGGGAAUUGCGUUUGAAACUACAAGGCUGGAGUGCAGCAGAGGGGAGUGGAAUUCCAUGUGUAGCAGUGAAAUGCGUAGAGAUGUGGAAGAACACCGAUGGCGAAGGCAGCUCCCUGGGUUGACACUGACGCUCAUGCACGAAAGCGUGGGGAGCAAACA